rnacentral:rRNA from 1 species
CCUACGGGAGGCAGCAGUGAGGAAUAUUGGUCAAUGGACGGAAGUCUGAACCAGCCAUGCCGCGUGCAGGAAGACGGCUCUAUGAGUUGUAAACUGCUUUUGUACAAGGGUAAACCUGAAUACGUGUAUUCAGCUGAAAGUACUGUACGAAUAAGGAUUGGCUAACUCCGUGCCAGCAGCCGCGGUAAUACGGAGGAUCCAAGCGUUAUCCGGAUUUAUUGGGUUUAAAGGGUGCGUAGGCGGAUUGAUAAGUUAGAGGUGAAAUGUCCGAGCUUAACUCGGGAACUGCCUCUAAUACUGUUGGUCUAGAGAGUAGAUGCGGUAGGCGGAAUGUAUGGUGUAGCGGUGAAAUGCUUAGAGAUCAUACAGAACACCGAUUGCGAAGGCAGCUUACCAAUCUAUAUCUGACGUUGAGGCACGAAAGCGUGGGGAGCAAACAGGAUUAGAUACCCUUGUAGUC